AAGGCCAAGGACUCUUCCCUGAUUCUGCUCCGGAGAGACGACCAGUCCAAGUCAGCAGGCUCAUCACCAACUGUCUGAGAUGUGUCAUUGGUGGCCAUUAUCGAAGAGUAAAUGUCAAAGCCUGAACCCCAGUCUCCACUUUGACAGAGUGAUGGAGUUGCCAUGGAUACCCAGGCCAAGAUAAAGGGCAUCCAGCAAUGCCACAUGGUAACCUGAGAAGAAGAGGAGGGCCCUGACACACCAGACUGACCUCAAACACCAAGCACCAACAAAGUACAUAAUGAAGUUGCACCCGACCGCACCACAAAGCAGCCGAUGGCCAGCCGACAUACAUGUUCAUUCUGACAUGUCUUGUACACUCAGCACAAGAGGAAAUAUAAUAGAAAUAGGAUGAGAGUGGAAGGGACAUUCCCCUUUAAAUUAACGUAGCGGGAUGUUAAGUGCGGUGGUCUUUUAUAUGUGUACUGUUGCCAUUGCAAUUGUUGUUGUGGGCUAACUUCUGAAUAAAC